GCAAACAAAGCAGAGUAAACGGUGUACUGGAAGUCUACAAGUCAGUUGUGUGGAAUUAACAUUUUUAUUUUAAAAGAAAUAGAAAGCAGAAUUGCUUGAUUUCUCGUGUCCUUGAAGUUCUUUCUUGUCGCUGGAACAGCCAAGUUAUCCAUCUACUGCGGAAUUCUGUACACUAGGGUGGAGUGUAGACUUGGUGCUUUGUAGAGUGUUCUGCUGGGCUGUCUUCGGGACGUGACAUUCUGACUCUGUGUGAGUCCUGACCAGUUUCUCAGCACCUCCAGGGCCCUGGUUUGCCCCAGCAGCAUAUAUACCUUUGGCCUGCCCUGGAGGAAAUGUCUCAAGAAGAGAGAGGUGGGACCCUCAUGACGAGAUGAGAGGCAAGAAGAAGACAGCCCUCCUUCCUCUCUCUGCACGUGCAUGCACCAAGGAGAGGCCCCGUCAGUACACGAGCAGUAGGCGGCUCUCUGCCCACAGGCCAGGAAUCAGACUUUCUCCGGGAACUGAAUAUGGGAGCUCCUUGAUCUUGGACUACCCAGCCUCCAGAACGCCAGCAGCAACUGUACAUGCUACAGAGGCGGUACUUGAAGCUCCCGGAGGGAUGAAAUGCUUCAUCAUCACUCAGCAACCACUUCGGCAGACUAAAGGGUGACAUUGAUUGGCUCUGAACAAAAUGGGGAGAUCCGGAUCACGUAUGGACAGAUGGACGUGUGCCCACAUUUACCACCACAUCACACCUCUCGUCUCCAAGCAAAUGACCCCCUCUCACCUCCUCCAAACCUGUCACCAGUCCUAAAAUUUAGUUUUCCAGGUAUCUCAACAUGGAAUUUACCAACCCAGUUUAGGUUUCUCUCUUCUCUCCGGACUUGCUGACUGACCCCUGAAACAGAGGCCUGGAUCUGCUCCAGCCUGGGAUAGGGAAGGGCUCCUUGGGACUCAUCAGGCUCUUCCCUCCUGGGCGGUUCACCGUGAGACCGAAACACCUGCUGGGAGAACAUGAGAGGCCGUUUGAGAAAGCCACAGAAACAGAGUUCCCUAGGGUUGGGGGUGAAAUACUGGAAAAUUUAGUAGCUCCCCCCAUCUGUGGUUUUGUCUGCCGUCCUUUGA